UGUGGAACUUAAAAAUCAGUGACCACUAUUUAUUAACUCCAAACCUACAGGCCCAUUACCUAACAACACUGGCCCACAUUUUUCGGUUGGGGCGACCUUGGAGAAAAGCAAAUCCUCCAAAAAUAAGACCACCUCUCUUAACCAAGAGCCACUCCUCAACGUACUAAUAGUAACCAGACCCAAUAUAAUUGACAAAUGGACCAAGCUACCCCA
rnacentral:rRNA from 1 species